rnacentral:lncRNA from 1 species
UAAUUCAUUGUAAAAGUUGUCACACAACUUUAAAAAACACUUAUUUAAUUUAUUAAUAUGGCUUCUAAUCACAAUUUUUUUUUUAGUACACCUUCCGUGUUCUACGUUUGAAACUUCAUUUAUUUUCGAAACUUUAAUAUUCAAACAUAAUGUUCAAGUUGUUGUAAUGGUAACUACUAUAUAUACUUUCAAACUAUAAUUUCUCAUUUUUAAUUAAUUUCUUUUUAAAGAAUACACAUCCUACUUGAUUUCAUAGAACCAAAAUCGCGUACAGAGAAACACAACUUGCUGUUGGAGAGUGCAAGAACUAAAUGAUUAAAGGCGACCGCUUACUGCUUUCAGGAUAAAAAUGCAUAUACCGAACAUGAAAGCAUCAUCAACGAGGAAACUCAGAGUAGGAGGUGGGAAAACAACAAGGCAACAGGACACAUGAAAAGGAAUUCACGGACACGGAUUCAACACACUAACACAUGCAUUUCUGCAUGCACAUCGUAUACAAUAAGGAACUGCAAUUGUCAUUUUUCUCUUACUGGUACAAGCGCAGGAGUAAUUUUGUUGUGGUAGGUUCACAACAACGCAAACCGGAGAAUAUUGUCAACAACUGGAAAUGUUUUAAAGGACCAGCAACCAUUUUUUAAAAGUUAAUAAUUUUAAAUCCAAAAUCAUGUUACCCGAGGGUUGUAACUAUAAACAAGACAUAUAUGU